GAGUUUGGAAGAAUGGAGGAAGAGUUUUAGAGUGUUUUGAAUAUCCUUGCUUGCUUGCUUAUCUUAGAGCUCUCUUUUGUACCUCUUUUAUUUGGAAGUUGAGAUUUGUUAGGCCUAGCUUCGCAAACCNUGGAAUUACAUUCUAAUUCUUUAUCGUGGGAGGGUCUAAAGAAGAAAUCACAGCUUGCAAAGUCACUUUACAAAGGUUUUGACUGUCUUGAAUGAGG
rnacentral:lncRNA from 1 species